AGAGAUGUGUGAUGACGCAUAUCAAUAAGGGAGGAAAAGAAACUAACAAGGAUUCCCUUAGUAACGGCGAGUGAAGCGGGAAGAGCUCAAAUUUGAAAUCUUCAAGGUCUUACCUUGACGAAUUGUAGUUUAUAGAAGUGUUUUCUGUUAGAGAGGUGGUAAAAGUUCUUUGGAAUAGGACAUCAUAGAGGGUGAGAAUCCCGUAUUUGGAUCACUUUCUACUAGCGUUGUGAUACACUUUCAAGAGUCGGAUUGUUUGGGAAUGCAGUCCAAAAUGGGUGGUAAAUUUCAUCUAAAGCUAAAUAUUGGCGAGAGACCGAUAGCGAACAAGUACCGUGAGGGAAAGAUGAAAAGAACUUUGAAAAGAGAGUUAAACAGUACGUGAAAUUGUCAAAAGGGAAGCGUUUGACACCAGUGUUGUUUUUCUCGAAAAUCAAUUAUGAAUGGCUUGAUUUUAAGUUUCAUGACCUUAAAAGCUUGUUUCUUAUUUUUCAUGUCUUUCGUAAUGCACUUUUCGGUUAACAAGUCAACAUCAAUUUCUUUUGUUGUAAAAGGGUAUAGAGGAAGGUGGCUUUCUUUUCGGAGAAAGUGUUUAUAGCCUUUGGCUUCUACAAUCGGAGAGAUUGAGGUCUGCAGCGUAGAUCCUUCGGGGUUAGAUACGUAGAUGCUAAGUUAUAGUUUUUUAUAGACAACUUGUUGACUAUGAUUAAUCAUGUAGCUUACUCGUUUACGCUAUUUUACCUACGCUUAGGAUGUUGAUAGUCACAGCGUGUAC
rnacentral:rRNA from 1 species